rnacentral:lncRNA from 1 species
UUGUGUUUUUUUUUCUUUGACACAAAGUAAAAUUAUAAUUAAUAUUGAAUAAAGUAAAAAUGAACUCCUGAGUUCCAGUCCCUUAUGUAACACACCUGGUUUGUGGCAGGCACUCAGGAAAUAUUAGUUGCAUGAACGAAGGCUGCAUUUUCAUUAGAACAACAUGCAGUUCAACCCCUUCAUGUUUCAAUGAGGGUUCAGAUACCCAGAGGGCUAUGCUAUCAUCCUGGAGCCCACUCUGCUAACAAUUAGCAGAACGGAAGCCUUAAUUUCCAGAUUCUAGUGAACUUGAUGAGUCAAGACUAUUGCAAUUGGAAAUCUGUUCUCCUCUGCUGCUGCAUUCCCUGCUUAAUACUCAAGCCAGAAACCAGGAAGGCUGUGGCUUGCCUUUUCACUUCUUGUGUCCUGUUUAAGAAAUAUCUGCUAUCCCAAGCAUCUGGCAUCUUUCUUGACAUAUGUAGCAGUUGCUUUUUGACAGCUUGCUUCUUCAGUGAAUGAAUAAAUUAAUAAAGAGAAAUGUGAUGUUCAGUGAUCCAUUUUGCAGAUUGCAAACUCCUAGAGAAGGGCUCAACAGUGAGUGCUGAGGCUGCACAGAGGAGGAAGGCAGCACAAUGAUGGAAGGCUUCCUAAAGAGAUAACACUAACAAAGUUGACCUUAGAAUUGGAGUGCCUGGGUUAGAACCCUGCUGGUACCACCUGCUUACUGCAUGCUUCUGAUGUGAGUUCAGGAGAAGACACUGGCAAGGACAGCAAAGAACAGGAGAACACUCUAGCUUCCCUGAUAGCAUUCAAGGUGCUGUCCAAACUGACUGUGAUGGCACCCUCCAGACAGACAGCGAUGCCACAUGUUCAAGAUGGCAGAAUCACUAUCAGCUUCAAUUCCUGAAUGACUGCAGAGCAAAAUUUCUUACCUGCAACAUACACUCUAUUUUCAGCCUCCCUGGACUGUUACAUAAUGAUACAUAAAAAUAUUUCUUGUGUUGAGGCAUCCCAAAUUUGAUUUAUUUGUCAUCACAGUCUAUCCUAUGAAUAUAUUUCUGAUCCAAAUAAUGCUAGAUUCAUGAGAGUUUAUAGUCCAGAGAUUUUUUUUUUUUUUUUGAGACAGAAUCUGUCUCCCAGGCUGGGGUGCAGUGGCAUAAUCUUAGCUCACUGCAACCUCUGCCUCCCGGGCUCAAGUGAUCCUCCCUCCUUAGCCUCCAUGAGUAGCUGGGACCACAGGUGUGCACCACCACACCCCGCUAAUUAUUUUGUAUUUUUUGCAGAGGGGGGUUUCACCACAUUGCCCAAGCUGGUCUCAAACUCCUAGACUUAAGGGAUCUGCCUGCCUUGGCCUCCCAAAAUGCUGAAAUUACACUUGUUAGCCAUAGUAAUAGUUCCUAGCCAUAGUCCGGAGAUAUUUUAAAAACUUUAGUGUGAGUUAUUUCUCUUUGCUAUAAUUCUCUCAUGCAUUUUGAAAACCUUUUCUGCCAUACAGUGGUUUUUGGGAAGUCCUUUUGGACAGACAUAUCACAGGAUGGAGAAACUAAAAAGAGAGAAUGCAUUAAAGAAAAAAUAGUACU